GGAAGCCUCUUGAUCUCCAGGCAUUGGGGUUUUAAACAAUGCCGCCUUCUGCCUUCGUUAUGAGGCCUGGUUCCCCCGCAGGCCGAAGCAGAUCGGACAUUGAGUCCACGGGUGUCAACACAGUAGGAUUUUCCUCUGCAAGGAGAAGCCUCUGCAUUUGAGAGAUUUAAGAAUGGAAGAACAGAGAACGGAAUUUAACACGGAGCAAUGUAGACUCAGUUCUACUGAAGAUGGAAGUGGUAGCCAUAUCUGCAAUACAAACCACUGUUAUAUCUGGCAACUUAAAUGACUUUCAGCAAACGAACAUCCAUUCCAUGUUGGUAGACUGGGGUACAUUGGUGGGUGAAGGAGUAGCAGUCUCUGCAGCUCCAUUGAAUGACAAGGCACAGUUGGCUGUUGACAAAACAUACUAAGAACCAUGGCUGGAGGAGAAAAUGUCUGCAGAGACUUUACAAAAUGAAGGAAAGGAUGGGGAGCUGUCACCUUUCCAUGUGUGUUGUUUUGAAUAUAAUCUUAUCAGAGAGUGGGAUAUAUGCUGAAUGACUUCAGUAACUCAUCUCAACACUACUUGCAUGAAGCAUCUCAUCUAGGGCAAAAAAGGCAGAGUACAUACAUACUUCCCUUUCCUCCUUCUAUUUUUCCCACAAGAAGAACCUUGGCUGAGAGAGAGUGACCGGCCUAAAGACCGGCCUCAAGAACUUGAGAGCUGAAGAAGCUUCUUGGAUGAGAAGUGAAACAUAUUUAAAGAAAAACCAGAAAGUUCAGUUGCCUCUUGAAAAACCACCUUUGGGACAACCAUGACCUGGAUGACUGAGAAUCUUCGUAGAUGUCACCAAGCCUCCUUUCAUGCCUAAAGUGGGACUAGAGUUCUCAAGUCUCCUGGUUUCUAACCUGAUGCUUUAACCACUAGACCAAACUGUGUAAAUUGUGUAAGGUAGAACAACAUAGAAUUUAUUUAUUUUUUUUAGAUAAUGUUUAUUCAACAUUUACAUCUUUAACAUCCUUGCUACAUUUUUACAGCUUUCCGAUACUGGCAUCUGUAAUAAUAUCUAUAACCAACUAUAUACCCAUACAUUUUAUGUAUUACUUACGAAUUUCUAUAUUCACUACAAUUUAUACCUAUC